rnacentral:lncRNA from 1 species
AUUUUGAUCUUAGUUAAUAUUUAUAUGUGAUGUAAAUAUAAAUUAGAUAUGAUCUGUACUUACUGAAUUUUAGAUUUCAGAUGUGCACAUAUGUGUAUUAGUUUAUGUCAUAGAUUCUGUAUGAUGAUUUUAGAUUUGAUCUAUGUAUGCAUUGUAGAUUAAAUUAUUUAAUCUAUAUAUAUUACAUAAUAAAUUUUUUAAAAAUACAUGCACAUCACCCACCACGCUUCCCUUCAUAUGCUGCCACAGCCUUAUCUUCUUAAGAACACUGUCGGCUUCGAACUCAAGGAACGAUCACACCAA